rnacentral:rRNA from 1 species
CAGUAGCCGCGGUAAAACGUAGGUGGCAAGCGUUGUCCGGAUUUAUUGGGCGUAAAGCGAGCGCAGGCGGUUUCUUAAGUCUGAUGUGAAAGCCCCCGGCUCAACCGGGGAGGGUCAUUGGAAACUGGGAGACUUGAGUGCAGAAGAGGAGAGUGGAAUUCCAUGUGUAGCGGUGAAAUGCGUAGAUAUAUGGAGGAACACCAGUGGCGAAGGCGGCUCUCUGGUCUGUAACUGACGCUGAGGCUCGAAAGCGUGGGGAGCGAACAGGAUUAGAUACCCCUGUAGUCCCUGUCUCUUAUAC